CUCCUGACUGACCGAUAGUGAACCAGUACCGUGAGGGAAAGGCGAAAAGAACCCCGGCGAGGGGAGUGAAAAAGAACCUGAAACCGUGUACGUACAAGCAGUGGGAGCCUCUUUUAUGGGGUGACUGCGUACCUUUUGUAUAAUGGGUCAGCGACUUAUAUUCUGUAGCAAGGUUAACCGAAUAGGGGAGCCGAAGGGAAACCGAGUCUUAACUGGGCGUUAAGUUGCAGGGUAUAGACCCGAAACCCGGUGAUCUAGCCAUGGGCAGGUUGAAGGUUGGGUAACACUAACUGGAGGACCGAACCGACUAAUGUUGAAAAAUUAGCGGAUGACUUGUGGCUGGGGGUGAAAGGCCAAUCAAACCGGGAGAUAGCUGGUUCUCCCCGAAAGCUAUUUAGGUAGCGCCUCGUGAAUUCAUCUCCGGGGGUAGAGCACUGUUUCGGCAAGGGGGUCAUCCCGACUUACCAACCCGAUGCAAACUGCGAAUACCGGAGAAUGUUAUCACGGGAGACACACGGCGGGUGCUAACGUCCGUCGUGAAGAGGGAAACAACCCAGACCGCCAGCUAAGGUCCCAAAGUCAUGGUUAAGUGGGAAACGAUGUGGGAAGGCCCAGACAGCCAGGAUGUUGGCUUAGAAGCAGCCAUCAUUUAAAGAAAGCGUAAUAGCUCACUGGUCGAGUCGGCCUGCGCGGAAGAUGUAACGGGGCUAAA
rnacentral:rRNA from 1 species